rnacentral:rRNA from 1 species
AAUAGAUACCCCGGUAGUCCACGCCGUAAACGAUGAGUGCUAAGUGUUAGGGGGUUUCCGCCCCUUAGUGCUGCAGCUAACGCAUUAAGCACUCCGCCUGGGGAGUACGGUCGCAAGACUGAAACUCAAAGGAAUUGACGGGGGCCCGCACAAGCGGUGGAGCAUGUGGUUUAAUUCGAAGCAACGCGAAGAACCUUACCAGGUCUUGACAUCCCGUUGACCACUAUGGAGACAUGGUUUUCCCUUCGGGGACAACGGUGACAGGUGGUGCAUGGUUGUCGUCAGCUCGUGUCGUGAGAUGUUGGGUUAAGUCCCGCAACGAGCGCAACCCUUGUUCUUAGUUGCCAUCAUUUAGUUGGGCACUCUAAGGAGACUGCCGGUGACAAACCGGAGGAAGGUGGGGAUGACGUCAAAUCAUCAUGCCCCUUAUGACCUGGGCUACACACGUGCUACAAUGGACGGUACAAACGGUUGCCAACCCGCGAGGGGAGCUAAUCCGAUAAAACCGUUCUCAGUUCGGAUUGUAGGCUGCAACUCGCCUACAUGAAGCCGG